rnacentral:rRNA from 2 species
GGAUAACUCCGGGAAACCGGGGCUAAUACCGGAUAACAUUUUGAACCGCAUGGUUCGAAAUUGAAAGGCGGCUUCGGCUGUCACUUAUGGAUGGACCCGCGUCGCAUUAGCUAGUUGGUGAGGUAACGGCUCACCAAGGCAACGAUGCGUAGCCGACCUGAGAGGGUGAUCGGCCACACUGGGACUGAGACACGGCCCAGACUCCUACGGGAGGCAGCAGUAGGGAAUCUUCCGCAAUGGACGAAAGUCUGACGGAGCAACGCCGCGUGAGUGAUGAAGGCUUUCGGGUCGUAAAACUCUGUUGUUAGGGAAGAACAAGUGCUAGUUGAAUAAGCUGGCACCUUGACGGUACCUAACCAGAAAGCCACGGCUAACUACGUGCCAGCAGCCGCGGUAAUACGUAGGUGGCAAGCGU